CUAUAAGACAGCUAGAACAUCAGGAGGCAGAGAUUGGGAUAGAAUGCAUUUGGGCCCGAAUUCAUGCAUCAUUAUUUUAUUGUUGCCGUAUGUGAUCUCUCAGGAGCAUCGGAUCUUCCAAUCGCCAACUCAAUUGUCUGUUGAAUGGGGAAAAGGCGUGAGCUUGAACUGCCGACAAAGUCAGUCGUUAGAGUACAUGUAUUGGUACCAACAGAAGAAAGGUGGAGGACUGCAAAUGCUUUUGCGCUCAUAUGGCUAUGACAGCAAUAUAGAGAAAGAGAAAGGUGUCUCCGAUCGGUACCAAGCAACAAGGAAUGGUAUGCAAAACAUUAACUUGAACAUAACUGGGGCGAAUACAGAGGAUGAAGGGACAUAUUACUGUGCUGCCAGUAGUGUCACAGAGGCGCAACGUAUUUGUUCUACUUCUUAGGUCACUGCUAAUGGUCAGGCGAUACACCAGCUUCUUAACACAGGUUCAAUUGCUGCUCCACGACCAGGCUGUAUCUCGUUGAGACUCAAGUACUGAACUCUAGCAUCCAUUCAGUGGCACAAUUCCAAAUCUCCAGCUGCUCCAAGCGAAACCUAUUUCCAGUUUCAGGGAACCAGCAAACAG